ensembl:snRNA U6 U6 spliceosomal RNA
GUGCUUGCCUCGGCAGCACAUAUACGAAAAUUGGAACGAUACAGAGAAGAUUAGCACGGCCUCUGCUCAAGGAUGACAUGCAAAUUCAUGAAGUGUUCCAAAAUUUU